AGCGUUAAUCGGAAUUACUGGGCGUAAAGCGCACGCAGGCGGUUUGUUAAGUCAGAUGUGAAAUCCCCGGGCUCAACCUGGGAACUGCAUCUGAUACUGGCAAGCUUGAGUCUCGUAGAGGGGGGUAGAAUUCCAGGUGUAGCGGUGAAAUGCGUAGAGAUCUGGAGGAAUACCGGUGGCGAAGGCGGCCCCCUGGACGAAGACUGACGCUCAGGUGCGAAAGCGUGGGGAGCAAACAGGAUUAGAUACCCUGGUAGUCCACGCCGUAAACGAUGUCGACUUGGAGGUUGUGCCCUUGAGGCGUGGCUUCCGGAGCUAACGCGUUAAGUCGACCGCCUGGGGAGUACGGCCGCAAGGUUAAAACUCAAAUGAAUUGACGGGGGCCCGCACAAGCGGUGGAGCAUGUGGUUUAAUUCGAUGCAACGCGAAGAACCUUACCUGGUCUUGACAUCCACAGAACUUUCCAGAGAUGGAUUGGUGCCUUCGGGAAC
rnacentral:rRNA from 1 species